UCACCUCCAAAAUUUAGUACUUUUUAUAAUUAUAGAAAUAUUUAGAAUGACAUACAUAAUAAUGUUGAGAAAAAUAAUAUAAUAGAAGUAACAACUCAAACCACACAAAUGAUAAAUAUGCAAAGAUGUAAAAGAUAGAGAAAAAGGAACACCAGAUAUAACGUGGUUUGACAAUGUGCCUACGUCCACGGGGCAGCAAUAACAAGAACUUCUACUAUGAAAUAAUGGGUACACGAGAUACACAACUUCAAGAACACUACUUGAAGGAAACCCUCUCUCACACUUGUUUUGCUACCAACUACUCUACACUCUCAACUUGGAGUGGACACUCUUCUCUACUUGGAAGAUGGAUGUUUGAGAUGGAUGAGAUGCUUGGAAUGAGCAAAUGACUCUCCUUUUAUAGGCUAAGGAGGAAUCAUCUAGACCUCUCAUUAGUGCUCUCCCAAUAAAUGGUACUUCAUGAAUCUUCCUGUAACUCAUGCCUUGACUAUAACUCCAAAACCAUCCAUGUUCUUUGUGUAACUCAUGUAACCUUGUGUAACUCAUGUAACUCAUAAAACCUUUCAUUACUAUUUUAUUUAUUUUGGUUUGGAUAUUAUAACAAUCUCCCCCUCCAAACCAACCCGGGGAAAUAUCCGGCAAGACUUCUAUUUGAAGUCCAUCCCAGCGGACUUGCUGCAAUACUCCAACUUCUGUUGUGGCACAACCUUAGUCAACAUAUCUGAAGUAUUCUUGUUGGUGUGAAUUUUCCUCAACUGCAAAAACUUUUUUGACAAUACAUCUCGUAUCCAAUGAUAACGUAGAUCAAUGUGCUUAGUGCGAGGGUGAUAAACUGAAUUUUUACUCAAGUGAAUUGCACUCUGACAAUCACAAUACACCACAUACCUUUCUUGCUUCACACCCAACUCCUGAAUGAACCUUUGCAGCCAUAUCAUUUCCUUGCCUGCUUCAUUUGCCGCUAUGUACUCGGACUCAGUGGUGGAUAAAACAACACACUUCUGUAACUUGGACUGCCAUGAUACAACUCCUCCACAAAAUGUAAAUAAGUACCCAGAAAUGGACUUUCUGUUAUCAAGGUCCCCAGCUAAAUCUGCAUCUGUGAAACCCUUAAAAACGGGUUCGGAUCUACCAAAAGACAAGCACAUCUUGUCUUUCUCCUCUUGUGUAGUUGGGCAUAAUAAUCUGCUUAACUUAAAGUGAUUGCCUAGAGGUGAGCUCACUGACUUGGCUUCUUUCAUGUUGAACCUUUCAAGCACCCGUUCAACAUACCUCUCCUGUGAUAACCAUAAUUUAUUUGCCUUCCUAUCACGGGUAAUCUCCAUGCCCAAAAUCUGCUUAGCUGGACCUAAGUCUUUCAUAUCAAAAGACUUUGAUAAAUCUGCCUUCAACUUGCAGAUCAUAGAAACGUUUUGCCCCACUAUCAACAUAUCAUCAACAUAAAGCAACAAAAUUAUAAAUUUACCUCCAGUGAACCGUUGAAUGUACACACAUGGGUCUGCAUCAGUUCUUCUAUAUCCGUGACCCACCAUGAAUGAGUCAAACUUCUUGUACCAUUGCCUUGGUGCUUGCUUCAGUCCAUACAAACUUUUCUUUAGCUUGCAAACCAUGUGCUCCUUGCCCUCGACCUCAAAACCUUCUGGUUGCUCCAUGUAUAUUUCUUCCUCCAAAUCACCAUGUAGGAAUGCCGUUUUUACAUCUAACUGCUCCACCUCAAGAUCCAUGCUAGCUGCCAUGCCCAAAAUAACUCUAAUAGAUGUCAUUUUGACAACUGGUGAGAAGAUCUCAUCAAAAUCUACUCCUUCCUUCUGCCCGAAACCUUUGACAACCAAGCGAGCCUUGAACUUUGUCAACUGUUCAUUCUCGUCCCUCUUCAACGUGAACACCCAUUUGUUUUUGAGUGCUUUUCUGCCUUUAGGAAGCUCCACCAACUCGUAGGUGCCAUUUUUCAACAAGGACUCCAUCUCAGACUUCAUAGCUAAUAUCCACUUGUCGUCGUCUGCAUGAGUCUUCGUCUCCUCAAAGCAUUCAGGCUCUCCAUCACCAGUCAACAUAAUGUAUUUGGAAUAUGGAUUAUCUCCAUCACUGGUGAGCAAAAUAUAUUGAGAAGAAGGAUAUUUGGUACUUGGCUUCGGUACUCUAUGAGAUCUUCGAACUGGUGCUUGGGCAUUUUCUUGUUGUUGUUCUUGAUUAGGUUCUUCAUGAUCAGGCUCCCCCUGAUCAUGAUCAUCAUGAACCUGAGUCUCCUAGUCAUCAUUUGCAGCACCUGCAGCUUCUGGUUCUACCGUAUCAGGGACGUCUUCAUUAACCAUUUUUUUGAGGUUUGUUAGACUCUUCUUAGAGCGGAGACGAGUCAUAAGUGAGGCGCUCUGCAUUUUCUAGUAUGUUCUUGUCAAAAUUCGCAACAGUUUGAUCCUCAUGGAACACCACAUCUCUGCUUCUGAAUAACUUCUUGGUUAUUGGAUUCCACAACUGGUAGCCCAUCUCUUCAUUACCGUACCCAAGAAAGAUGCACGGCACGGCCUUGUCAUCUAGCUUCAAUCUUUUCUCCUUUGGAACAUGUGCAAAUGCUUUGCACCCAAAUACCUUCAAGUGAGAAUAUGAAGCACUUCUACCGGUCCACACACUCUCUGGAGUCUCCAAGCCCAACGGUACACAUGGUGUUCUGUUGAUGAGGUAACAAGCGGUUGUCACUGCUGCGCCCCAAAACUCUUUCACCAGGUUAGCCGUCUUUAGCAUGCUUCUCACUUUUCCAAGAUGGUGCGGUUCAUCCUCUCUGCUACACCAUUAUGUUGUGGGGUGCCAGGAACUGCCUUUAUGUGUCUAAUGCCAUGCUUCGAACAAUAACCUCUGAACUCGUUCGAAGUGUACUCUCCACCAUUAUCACUGCGGAGACACUUGAGGGUUCGUCCCGUCUCCCUCUCAACCAUGGCAUGGAACUCCUUGAAGGUUUGGAACACCUGGUCUUUUGAUUUUAACAAAUACACCCAAACCUUUCGUGAAGCAUCAUCGAUAAAAGUGACAAAAUAUUUGCUAUGACCUAGUGAAUCAACUUCCAUAGGACCACAUACAUCCGAGUGUACUAGGUCUAAAACAUUCUCUUUCUUUGUAAAUGUAUUAGCAAAACUAACCUUAUGUUGCUUACCAAAUAAACAAUGAUCACAAGAUUCAAGUGAGGUACCUUUGGGAAACGAAAUAAGAGACUUCUUUGCCAGAACUUGCAAUCCCUUCUCACUUACGUGGCCUAACCGCUUGUGCCAUAGACUUGGAGAAGAGUCAUCCAUGACAUUCAACUCCCCUUUGUAUAUCUUGCCAUAUGUCUUGUAGAGGGUGCAACACAACUUCCCUCUAGCCACCACUAGUGAUCCUCUGGUAAGCCUCCAUUUUUGAUCUCCUCCGUGAUGAUGAAAACCUUCUCGAUCAAGCACGCCAGUUGACAUCAAAUUGAGACGUAGGCCCGGAACAUGUCGAACAUCUUUCAACAUCAGCUUAUUGCCCAAAUCGGUCUCAAAGCAGACAUCUCCAAUUCAUGCAAUCUUGGAGUAGCCUUCAUUGCCCAUCUUUACAAUCCCAAAUUCACCACCUUUGUAUGUCAAGAAAAACUCCUUAUUUGGAGUGGCAUGGAAAGAGGCUCCGGAAUCAACGACCCAUGCAACACCAGGAGUAUCGUCAGCAUGUAGGCAUUCUCCUUCAAGACAAAGGAACUCAUACACAUCAUUGCACACAGUAGCGGUUGUGUUCUUUGUGUCAUCCUUCGGUUGAUGAGUAUUGUCAUCUCGAGCCUCCCUAGGAUCCUUUUUAAACUUGUUGCAAUUUUUCUUCAUGUGCCCAAAAAUACCACAAUGAUGGCACUUUCCAUUGAACCUUGUUCUGGAUCGGCUUGCACUCCUUCCAUGGCCUCUAGGUCCUUUACUCUUGCUCCUACCUCUAUUCUCCGCCACAAAGACUUGGCUAUUGUUGGAGCUAGAGGAUUUUCUCCUUGUCUCUUCAUUCAACAUGUUACUUUUAACAUUAUCCAUUGUCAAUUUACCAUCAGGAGCAGAGUUACUUACAGUGAUGACAAAGGUCUCCCAAUUGUCCGGCAACGACCCCAACAACAGCAAUGCUUGUAAUUCAUCAUCGAUCGUCAUCCCCAUGGUCGUCAAUUGAUUGAUUGUACUUUGGAAGUUGUUUAGAUGCUCGGUGACCCUCACGCCUUCACGAUACUUCAUGUUAACAAGCUCUUUAAUUAGAAAGGCUUUCUUGGAGGCAGUCUUCUUCUCGAAUAACGACUCCAACUUUGUCCACAACUCAUGCGCAUCAGUCUCGAUCAUUUGCCACAUGGUGGAAUACACUAUCAUCUAUCUACUCUCGGACAUGACCGAUUGCCUUACGAUUCAUCUUCGUCCAAUUAGCAUCUGAAGUCCCUUCCAGCUUAGCAUCAACUCUUUCGAUGGGCUCAUGCAAAUCUUUGCAAUAGAGUAUGUCCUCCAUUCGUGACUUCCAUGUAAUCCAAUUUGAGUGGUUGAGUCGAACCAUUGUACUCCUUGAACCUUCCAUUUUAACACCCACGCCCUACGAACCAAGGGCUCUGAUACCACUGUUGGGAAAAAUAAUAUAAUGGAAGUAACAACUCAAACCACACAAAGGAUAAAUAUGCAAAGAUGUAAAAGAUAGAGGAAAAGGAACACCAGAUAUAACGUGGUUCGGCAAUGUGCCUACAUCCACGGGGCAACAAUAACAAGAACUUCUACUAUGAAAUAAUGGGUAUACGAGAUACACAACUUCAAGAACACUAUUUGAAGGAAACCCUCUCUCACACUUGUUUUGCUACAAGGAGGAAUCAUCUAGACCUCUCAUUAGUGCUCUCCCAAUAAAUGGUACUUCAUGAAUCUUCCUGUAACUCAUGCCUUGACUAUAACUCCAAAACCAUCCAUAUUCUUUGUGUAACUCAUAUAACGUUUGUGUAACUCAUGUAACUCAUGAAACCUUUCAUUACUAUUUUAUUCUAUGCGUGUAAAUAAGGUCAUCCUAAAUACAAAAUUUCAUGGCUCAAAUUCUUUUCUCAUCUACGAUCCAACAUUCCAACUACUAGCAUUGAUAUUGGUUUGAAAAUAAUUAAGGAAAGAACAGAAAAACCAUCAAGAACAUGGUUUAAAUUAAGAUGAACUAUAGGAUAAUUAUCAUAGCAGAUAUCAUUUUAAUAGGAAAGUUUUGAAGGACAAACCAAUUCAUUCGCUCGAAUAAAUUAUGCAUCAAAGAUCCACUCAUUGCAUGCCAACAGCAGAUUCAAAUCUGAAUUCAUCAAUCAAUUUCUAAUAAAGGUUCGGGGAGUGAAAAUGAUUAAGCAAAAC
rnacentral:lncRNA from 1 species